rnacentral:tRNA from 1 species
GCGCAGACACUGUGGCACGUGGCGAGCCCAACGCGCUGUAAACGCGCCGGUUAAACCUGUGGCGGUUCGACUCCGUCUCUGCGCACCA